GAUGAACGCUGGCGGCAGGCUUAACACAUGCAAGUCGAACGCCCCGCAAGGGGAGUGGCAGACGGGUGAGUAACGCGUGGGAAUCUACCCAGUUCUACGGAACAACUGAGGGAAACUUCAGCUAAUACCGUAUACGCCCUACGGGGGAAAGAUUUAUCGGAAUUGGAUGAGCCCGCGUAAGAUUAGCUAGUUGGUGAGGUAAUGGCUCACCAAGGCGACGAUCUUUAGCUGGUCUGAGAGGAUGAUCAGCCACACUGGGACUGAGACACGGCCCAGACUCCUACGGGAGGCAGCAGUGGGGAAUAUUGGACAAUGGGCGCAAGCCUGAUCCAGCCAUGCCGCGUGAGUGAUGAAGGCCUUAGGGUUGUAAAGCUCUUUCAGUGGGGACGAUAAUGACGGUACCCACAGAAGAAGCCCCGGCUAACUUCGUGCCAGCCGCCGCAUAACAC
rnacentral:rRNA from 1 species